GACGAACGCUGGCGGCGCGCUUAACACAUGCAAGUCGAGCGAGAUCCAGGCCUUCGGGCCUGGGGACAGCGGCGAACGGGUGAGUAACACGCGGGUAAUCAACCCUCGACACUGGGAUGGCCCGGGGAAACCCGGAUUAAUACCGGAUGGCCCUUCGGAUCUUCGGAGCUGACGGGAAAGGUAGCUUCGGCCUCCGGUCGAGGACGAGCCCGCGGCGGACUAGCUUGUUGGUGGGGUAACGGCUCACCAAGGCGACGAUCCGUAGCGGGUCUGAGAGGACGAUCAGCCACACUGGGACUGAGACACGGCCCAGACUCCUACGGGAGGCAGCAGUGGGGAAUCUUGCGCUAAUGCGGGCAACCGUGACGCAGCGACGCCGCGUGAGGGAAGAAGGCCUUCGGGUUGUAAACCUCUUUCAGGAGGGACGAAGCCACUCAGGUGAAUAGCCCAGAGGGUGACGGUACCUCCAGAAGAAGCCCCGGCUAACUACGUGCCAGCCGCCGCGGUAAUAC
rnacentral:rRNA from 1 species